GCCCCGACCGGAAGCCCCGCCCCGCGCCCCACCGCCCAAUUGCCGGGGGCGGCGCCCGCGAAAGCCUGGCUCUGAUUGGUCACGCCAUCUAUCUGCUUCUGCUCCAGGUCUCGCCUCGGGGACGGCGAGGUCCCGGCCCGUCCGGGUCCCGGUCCGCGGGGCUGCGGCUGAUGGCUGGAGCGUGCGGCGGAGACUGGGCCGUCCGGAAUGACUGCCCUGCGCCGCAACGGCAGGUCCCUGGCGGUCCGUCCCGGAGGCACCGGCCAGUCCGGGCUGAGCGCUCCGGGCCGGUGGCCGUGACGAGUGACGUCCCCAUGGGACCUCCGGGGUGCCUCCCAACUCCGCGGUGAAGCCAAGGGAGACGCCUCGGAACCUCCCCCUGGGGCCCCAGCAUGGCGCCCCAGACCUUGUGUGAGCCAGCUCCGCCCCUGCCGGCUCUGUGACCUCGGGGAAGCCCUCACCCCCCUCCAGCUCGGGGUCCUCUUCCCCGACGCCCAGGCCCUCCUGCCCCAUCUCCUGGCCGCCUCACCCCACUGUCCUACCCCUACUCUGGAAUCUGGUGGGACUGGGUGUUUGAGGGCCUGUGAGUGCCGGGCUCUGUGCCCUACUGCCUGCCCUGCCUGAGCUCACAGCAGAGGGAACAUCUGGUGGGUUCCAGUGGUUCUGCAGGUCAGUGUGGGAGGGUCAGUGGCCCUCCCAGCCCUGGCAACCUUGCCUCUGCCUCACUCUUGGGCUGCAUGGCCUCGUGGACCUCCCUAGGCCCAUCCGGUACCUGCAGGUGCCGCUGGAGCGCAGGGUCCACGUGGCCCUGAUGCGUGGGAGCUGAGCUUGGCCCCUUCCUGGCCCCUCCCUGCAAAGAAGACUCAGCUGACAGCCAGGCUGCGCCAUCCUUGCAGGGCAGGCCUAGGCCCUGGGGGUGGCAGUGCGAGUGCGCAGCCCGCUAGAGCGCAGGGCCGGUCCACGGUCGUCCAGCGCAUGCCUGAGUCGGCCCCGGUGCGCUCCGGCCUCGGUGUGUUGAGGUUGGCCUGGUCACCAUCGCCGUACCACCAGCUGGCGCGUGAGGGCUCGCGGCUGCAGCUGGCAGAGAUGUGGGCCAUCGGCGCAGGGCGUUCAGCCAUGGGGCGUGUGGUGCAGCGUGCUGAAGCCACAGCCCUCCUGGUUGUGGACACCGCCGGAGCCCUGGAACGUGUACCCUGUACGGUGUGGGCCGUGGCACUGCAGCCCUUCAGCUGCACCCCCGUCCUGGAUCCUGGCCAUCUGGGCCCCCCGGCAGGUGGUCCGGGAGGAACAUCCUUUCCCAGAGAGCUGAGGCUGGCAGAAGUAGGCUGAGAAGUUGGGGACUCUGGGGUCCCAACCUUCUUCCCAGCCCCUAGCCCGGGAAGCAUGUCAGCACACCACGAUGCUUGUGGGCAGGGGGGUGGUACGAAAGCCCCCAGCCCUCCCAGGCACUCACCUGCGGCCCUGAGUACAGGCCGAGAGGUAGAGCCAAUAAAACCGGUCUUCCUGGUCCACGCGGAAGCUGUCGUAGCGGGCCCGCAGCGAGUGGUUGCCCAUGUCCCGCAGAUCCACCGUCAGCUCGCUGGCAGGCCCAAGAUGUGUUCCAGCCCUGGCCAGUGGUCACCCAGGCUCAGGCCUGCCCUGUGUUCUCAACAAGGCCCCGGGGCCCUGGCUGCACGGCCUUCCUACCUCCCCAGUCUCCAAAGCCCUCUUUGUACUCCUGCCGGCACCUCUCAAAUUCCAGCAGCCUCUCCCCGCCCGUCUCAACUCUGAAUCACCGUCCAACCACUGUCUGCACGCUUGUCACAGAACCUGGGGUGGGGCGAGGACGUCAGCGCCUCCCGUGCUGGCUGGGCCUGGGUGGGUCGGAGGGGCCUGCCCCUCCACGGUCCAGGCGGGAGGGAUGUCCGCUCUCCCCUAAGCACUCUUUAUAUGUUUGAGAAAUGAAACCUUGUUGUUUUUCUGCUUGUCAGUGUAAUACAAACUUGCAUUGGAAUCACUAACAUUCUCAGAAAUAGGGUGAAGACUCACAGUAACUCCCCAGGCCUCAGGCUGACGGCUUCAAUUUAAUGGAUGUUAUUUUAUACUUAACUUGUAUCCUGGGCAUCUUUGUUCCCUUGGAAGUAGACUUCUCUUCUCUUUUCCUGACUGUAGCCAGCGCCCAGAGAGCAUCUCUGUUCCAGGUGCAGGUGUCUGAGGAUGGCCUCUGGCCUGGCCCGGCCCUUCCCUCCCAACAGCCCACGGUAACAUCUGUUUUUGCCAAAGUGAUACACGAACUGCAGGUUGCUCUCCUGGACGGGGCACUGGCUCCUCUGGCUGGCUGGCGUACACACCUCUGGGGCCCUCUGGUUCUCCACCCAGAUCUGAGAGCAGCCUCUCCCUGGGGAAGACUUGGGCCAGGAGGGGUCAGAGUUCUCCGGGUGACCAGACCCAGAGCCCGAGAAGGGCCCGUGGACAGUCCAGCAGGUGACUUACAACCUUGGUCCUGGCAGACGCGCAGCCACUGUCCUCUCGCCUUGGGCCACACCUGCCUCAGGCCUCUUCCCUUCUGGAAGCCGCUGGCCUUCAGGCUCCUAGCACUUGCCGGCCCCCAGCCCUCCGUCAGACCCUCGAUUCCUCCCGCCGCCCCUGGACCCACCUCUCCCUGUGGGUCCAACAUGGCCUUCACCUGCUGCCCUAGGAGGGUCUGCCUUGGCUUCCCCGCCUCCCUCGCUCGGCCCAGCUGGCCCCCCCUAACACCAGCCUGGAGGGGGCCUGGUCCUUGCCUGCCCCUCCCCCAGGCUGUUUAGGGCAGGCACCCAGGUGGGUCCUCAAGGGGAGUGAGAAGCCUGCAGGGUGCAGACCUGUGGGUGACAGCUCCGAGGCCACCCAGCCAUUACGCACUGGGCCCCUUCCACUCCCCCACACCCGGCCGGACCCUGGGGUCCCAGCAGGACCGCCUGGACCUGUGGAGAGAAGACCCCGGGCAGAGGGAAGCUCAGUAGCCCCUGGAGCCCCUGGCCCACCAUGGGCCCACCACCCACUCCUACCAGCCUUUGACGAUGUGCCUCAGAGCUGGCCCAGGGCAGAGAGGCACAGAAGAGCCCCGAGACCCAGCGCAGGGCAGGCGGCCAUGCUUCCUGGGGGGCAAACACGUGGAGAAGCGCCACCCCGCCGCCUCCUGCCGCGCCCCCGGGGCGGCCCACACGCCUCUCCAUGCCCACUGUCGCCUUUCUGGGCGAUGUGAGCCGCCGGUCCCCACUGAGUUUUGUUCAAGUCUCUAAGGGACGUGUACACGAGCGUGUGAAUGACAAGGACAUGGCCCAGCCCAAGGCUCCUCGGGCCAGAUUGUGGCCAUGGCUUUCACCUGAUUUAGACACUGAGUCAACACAGACACAACCAAACGUGGCCCUGGGCCCCUGACGGGAUGCACAGAUGCUACGUCGAAAACAGGUGACCAGGACACGACGCAAACAGGUAGUGACUGGGGUCAAGUGCUGUAUGGGGCCAGCUCGACCUUGGGCCCAGCUGCACCCGACGCGGUUCCUGUGCAAACUGGCGGGCCUGGUGGAUCGCUGCCAGCCAUCCACUGAGGGUCGGGGUGACCCCCAGGUCCCACCACUAGCUGCACAGGAAGCAGGUUCAACCGCCUGUGGGCCAGGCAGGCUCCACCCCGAGAGGGCGGCGGCCCUGCAGCCCCCACGGCUGGAGGUAGACCACGGGGGCAGCUGGACGGGCAGCGGUUGGAGGCCAGCCUAGCUGCCCAUGGCCGAAACUGACCCUUGCCACACCCCUGUCUUCCUGGGACCGAGACCCCAAGAGAAAGGUGUUCUCUUUGUCCCAACCAGAUUUAAGGCUAGUAUUUCCUGACAUUUGCUUCGGUUUGUUUUAAGUUAAAAAUACCUGAGUAGAAAAGUUUCAGACACUUUUAAAAGCCAGAAACGCACAACCUCUGUAGGCACAGCCGUUGCUGGCGCUCAGCCGGGGCCGCCAAGGAGCCACGCGAAGGGCUGCACGGGCCAAGCUGCCCUUCCCCGCGUGCUGGCCCGGCACCCCCGCGAGGCGCCGCCUGCGACGCGGAGAGAAGGCACAGUGAGGUAGGGGCUGGCCGGCUGCGGCCCACCGCACCUCACCCCUCCCCCGCCAGCUCAUCCCGGGCCGGUGAACUUCCCAGCGGCCGCAGGGAGGGGGUGCAGGGGGGCUGCUGGGAAGCCCGAGCUCAGACAGUGAAAUAAUUCUUUAUUUGGGCGGGUUGGGAGAGGGCAGGUGAGGCUAGGCCGGACCCCCAUGGGGGGUGGCACCCAGGAGCUCCUCAGGGGGCCGGCCCCCCGUGCCCCUCGGCCGUGUCACAGGAGCAGCCGCGGGCAGCCCCCUGGACGGACGUGGCGGCUCCCUCUGUCCUUCCUACUUGUGCGGCCAGGCCUCGGGGGCCCUCUGCAGGCAGUGCCGGGCGGCAGGCAGCGCCAAGAGCAGGUCGCUGGCACGGCGCCCCAUCCGGUACAGGCCGUAGCCCAGGAGGCCCAGGAAGGCGGCCUUCGCGGCCAGCCAGGACACUCUGCCACCGACGGACGGCGGCGGGACGCUGGGGAAGGGAGGGCGGGCUGGGCCUGGCUGGGGACGCACGAUCCCCCAGCCCCCAGCCCGGCUCCACGUGGGUGGGGUGGGGCGGGACGGAGACGGAGGGCUGGGUGGGCGGCACUCACGUCAUUAUCUCCUGGAUGUUGAGGUCGGUGGUCCAGUUCUUCUCGAUGCCGGGGACGUGGCCCAUGCCCACGACGCCCACCACCACGGAGGGGACGCACUUCCUGGGCUCGGCUGCAGCGGGGAGAGAUGCAUCAGCACUGCCCACCCGACUGGCCCUGGCGGGUCCCCAGCGACUACCCCGCAGCCCGUCCUCACCGUCAGAGGCACGGGGCAGCUCCAGGCGCCGGGCCGCCUGCCUCAGCAUGUCCUUCUGCUUGCACCGCUCCACGUCAUCCUUGCUGGGGGAGAAGGGCGUGCUGCCAGCCCGAGGGACGGCUGACCCAGGGCGGGGACCUCGCACCUUCUGUCUGGGAUCCUGGCAGGAGGAAGGGCUGGGGAGGCCCUUUGAGAGGAGGCUCCGCCCGAGAAUGAGAGGCGUUUGCCGUGUGGCGGUCUGGGCCGGGCCAGGGUGGACCAAGUGCUCUGUGGGUAUCUCAGGCCACUGGUCACCAUUCCCGGGCCGGGAGGCCGAGGGGCCCUACCUGAUAGGGUCCGACAGGAAACACAGGCCCCAGGCCAGCUUGAUCUUCUGCCAGAAAGAGAGGGCGGCGAUGGCCCUCUUGAAGGUGACGGGGAUAGGCCGGUCGCCCAGGUGGAACUUGCAGAAAGGCACCUUGCUGGCCUGGGCAGAGGCUGGGUGUUGGCGGGGGAGCCUCAGGCCCCGGGCAGCUCCCAAGCGCCGAGCCCCCUCCGCCCCCCGGCCGGGCCCGGGCCCACCUCCUUGAAAGCCUCCCUGAACUCGCCGCCAGGGGCCAUGCCCAGCUGCUCAGUGAUGUGGGCGGACACCUUCAGCAGCAGCAUCUGCAUGAGUCCCGACAUGACCCCGUUCUGCAGGGAGAGGCCCGGUCAGCCGGCGUGCGGCAGAGCGUGAGGUGCCUGCGGCCCUGCGGGAGGCCUGCCCUGUGCUCUGGGGAGGAGCGAGGGCCACGCUGACGUCCAGCAGGGCCUCAUGGUGGGCGCCUCACCCACGGUGCACGCUCAGAGGCCCCUCCCGGCCCUUCAGACGACCUUCCCAGAGCAGGCCCACCGCAGGCCGUGCAGUCUCAGACCGGCUGCCUGGCCUCUGCCCCACGGGUGCCCCCUUUCCCCCCUCCCCCCUCCAGGCCAGACCCCCAGCUCCUCUGCCCACAUCCCCCUUGGGGCACCUGUCAGUGUGAGUGGACUUGGGUUCUGGGUCCAGAGCCCCUGCGUGAGGCACAGUGGGGUCGCAGCUCUGGGCCACAUGACAAGCUGAGGCCCCGCCCCCGCCCCGGUGACCUGCCAGCACACUCCGGGGCCCUCAGGGUCCCUGACCAGCUCCUGCCUUGGGGUUGGGGCCUCAGCCGCCUCUCCUCACUGUCCCUUGGGCCAGGGUGAAGGGUCCCGGACCAGAGUCCCCAUGGGGCGGGCACGCGCACCUGCCUGACGGCCUGCUGCAGCUUCUCCAGGCUGAUGUCCUUGGCCUCACGCAGCAGCGCGCGCUCGUCCAUCUUCAGCAUGGACACGCGGUAUUGGCACAGCUCCACCACCACCACGUCGGGCUGCACCUCCCGGAUGGUCUGCGACGGACAUGCCAGCUCGCCGCGGGCCCCAUGGGCAGAGCCACACCGGACCCGGAGGCCCACCCCCGGUCGACCCCACCGCCGCUCAGCCGCCGCGGAGACAGCUCGGUGCCGGAAGUAACCACGGCGGGAGGGACGGCCCGGGUCUGCGUGUCCUGCCGCAGCAGCAGUGGCGGCUCACGGGCCUCACCUUCGCCACGUCCUUCUUGCUGUCGUCGCUGAAGUGGGCCGUGCCCACCACGUACACGCGGCUCCCAUCCUCGGCCACCAGCUCGGUCACCGUGCGCGGCAGGUUGGGCCGCUCUUGCCGCCUCUUCAGCUUCAUCUCCAGGAGCAGGUGGAAAGCGUCCACGUCGGCUGCAGGGACAGCAAGGCCCGGCUUGGGGCCAUCCUCCCACACGGGCAGCCUGGGCCUCCGGGGCGCAGGGACAGGGGUGCGUGCUGCCCCGCGGAACGCGGACACACGUGGGGGCCUCUCCGGGCCUCGAGCCACUGGUACUUGCUCACCAGGACGUGCGGCCAGGCCCCACGCCAAGGGGAGCCCCCAGGCCGCCGAGGGGCCCAGGACGGGGUGGGGCUGUGCAGGGCACCCGGCCUCCACACCUGAGGAGGGGGCUCCUGCCACAGCCCUGCUCGCACUCAAGAACCCCCCCCCGCCACCCCCCCAGGGUGGGCCGGGGCCCCUGGUCCACCACAGGCUCUGGAGAUCACCCAGCCCAAGCCCCUCCCGCCCGGCACGGUGACCCAGGGAGCACGCACACAGGUUCUGGGGCUCUCCGGGGAGCACCCUGGGCACCACCUCCGAACCCCCUGAAGUCACGAUGGGCUCUGUGCUGGCCUGCGGAGGGAAGGGGAGCGUUCGAGCGGCGGUGCUCGCCUCUCCGGGGCCUGCCGGGACUCGUGCGGCUGCCCCACCAAGCCCCAGAGCCUGUCGGCUGUGUCCCCCAGGCGAUCCCCUCACAGGCGGCCCGCCCUCAGGGCGCCCUGUGGCUGUGUCCCC